rnacentral:rRNA from 1 species
UACGAAGGGGGCUAGCGUUGCUCGGAAUCACUGGGCGUAAAGCGCACGUAGGCGGGUCGUUAAGUCAGGGGUGAAAUCCUGGAGCUCAACUCCAGAACUGCCCUUGAUACUGGCGAUCUCGAGUUCGGGAGAGGUGAGUGGAACUGCGAGUGUAGAGGUGAAAUUCGUAGAUAUUCGCAAGAACACCAGUGGCGAAGGCGGCACUCUGGGCCGGUACUGACGCUGAGGAGCGAAAGCGUGGGGAGCAACA